GAAAGCCGGUAGUCGAAAAAUUAUUACUAAUAUAUUUCUUUUUCACACGUUUCAAAGCACCUUUAUCUGUCUGUUGAUGUGUUUUUGAGGAAGUGUUUUCAAAUAUUGUGUCAAGGAAAACUUUAAAGUCUGGGUAUUUCAAAUUUCCAUGGUUUCUAAGAAAAGCCUAAAAAUACUCCCAGUACCAUCUAUCUAAAUAAAAAUUAGAAAAAGAUGCCAGCAAGAAAAGAUUUCAGGAACUCUCAAGGACGAUAUGUCACCAGAACGAUGAGCAGCAACAACACCCCAGCUAUCAAAACACACUCUGGAGGCCCCAGAAGGAUACCCAGGAAGAACCUCCCGUUCCCCCAACCAGACUUUGGAGAGCAAUGGAAGACAACCCGAAGCAACAGAUCCUGGAGUAGUAUCCACAGAGAAUCAGGUAGUAGACAGCUAUAGCCUAGAAGAAUCUGAGAUCUUACAUCUACUACCCCCGGCCUAACCACCUGAACCCAAAGGAAAAACCUAGACUAAGAUACAAGAUAACCAAGAAUCAAAACUUAUACGACCCAACCCUGAAGAGGCAUAAACCUAUAGCGGGGCCCCCCUCCUGCAUCUAAUAUAACCCAACUACAUACUAACCCAAAACUGAAUAAACAUUUUUGACUUGACUUUCCUCUUCGAAGAGUGUGAACUAAGAAUCUCUUCAAACGACGAUUACAUUCAACUGUGACGAUGGAAGAACAGAAAUUAUGUAUUUUUAAUUUUUUAGGGGUUUCUUUCUGUUAGUAAUCAAUAUUCCUGAUGAAAAUAAUGCAUGCAGUAUAUAACAUAAGAAAUGUUGAGAAUGCUUCAUUUCUUGUUAUAUAGACACCGGAAAACUUCGUUUGUAAUGGUACCCAUCAAACGCCCCUUAUGUAAUAUACUUCGGCAUUCGAUUCACAGCUGCGCGGCUCUAAGCAAACCUCAACGUUUACAUCUGCAAACGAUUCUUGUGCCAUCUAUAAACAUGUGUACAAAGUUGAGUUAAUCUCACCUCUCGCGUCGAUAGAUUUUGACGAAACACGUGACCGUUCAACGUAGUUUUAUAGGUGAACUAUAGAUGGCGAAGCGCUUUCACGGUAACUCGCUGCUCGUUUUUACGCAUUUCUAGUCGAGAAAUACUGAGAAAAUAAUUUUCAAAGGUAUCGCUUCUCGGCCCUUGGCUAAGAUCAAAGUGUAGUAUCUGUUCUUAUCAGCUUAAUAUCUGAUACGCCCCGCAUGCGGGGCCAGUAUAUUAAACUGAUUUUUGGAAACUGAUGGAGGGUUAAGGGGCUUGCUCCACCUCCGUCGCGGGUUGGCCCGGUAUUGCAGUACCGCCGGGAUCGGCCCAUUUUAUAAAAAU